rnacentral:rRNA from 1 species
UGGGGAAUAUUGGGCAAUGGGCGCAAGCCUGACCCAGCCAUGCCGCGUGGAUGAAGAAGGCCCUAGGGUUGUAAAGUCCUUUCACCGCUGAAGAUAAUGACGGUAAGCGGAGAAGAAGCCCCGGCUAAUUCCGUGCCAGCAGCCGCGGUAAUACGGAAGGGGCUAGCGUUGUUCGGAAUUACUGGGCGUAAAGAGCGCGUAGGCGGCCAGCCAAGUUGGGGGUGAAAUCCCGAGGCUCAACCUCGGAACUGCCCUCAAAACUGGUUGGCUCGAGUCCGGAAGAGGGGCGUGGAAUUCCCAGUGUAGAGGUGAAAUUCGUAGAUAUUGGGAAGAACACCGGUGGCGAAGGCGGCGCCCUGGUCCGGUACUGACGCUGAGGCGCGAAAGCGUGGGGAGCAAACAGGAUUAGAUACCCCCGUAGUCC